rnacentral:lncRNA from 1 species
UCGGACGCCGGACGGUGAAGAAAUCGGAAAAAGAAGGAGAGAGGGCGACGCGGGGGAAGAGGGGGAGAAAAUCGGGGAGAGAGAAAAUGACGAGUUACCACAGUAACUCGUCCUAUUUAUAGAAAGUUACCAUAAACAGUAAAUUUACCAUUUCGCUUAUAACUUUUGCAUAUGAACUCCGAUUUUUACGUACCACAUAUGCACGCGCUCGGUUUAACGUCCUCUACAACUUUCAUGAAGGAAAUUUUCUCAAAUUUUGACCCGAACAAAAAGUCAACUUUUAGGGCCCCCUAAAAUGUCGAAACGGAGCCAAAAAGUAAAUGUAAAUGUCGUUUACCCAUCGAAAGACUUGUAAACUGGUAAAUUCGGGUUCGGGACG